GAGAGGAUUCGUCUAUUUCUUGUGCUGUAAUAUGUGAUGUGGAAUUCAGUGACCUCAAAUCCAACAACAUGUCAAAUGUGGACACAAGCACAUGGACCACGUCACUGCAUUUAGAUGUGUAUGGGUCUUUAAACUGCACUGGAAAUGCCACCCAACCAUCAAAUAGGCCUACUUCACCAGAAUCAACAUUUCUGUCUCCUAUCAUCUAUGGAACAUCAGCAGCGGCUGCAUGUGUUAUUGUUGUGGUAGUUUCAGUGCUCUACUUCAGAACAAGGUUGUGGGCAGGUUUUACUGAGUGCUGCUCUGGCUCUGCCACUGAUGACAGGGUGGAGGAGACCCAUGUGAUUUAUUCUUCACUUAUCAUCAGGAAACCUGUCAGGACAACAAGCAGUCACAUGGCUGACAGUAAUUGUGUGUAUAGUGUGCCUAUACACAGGGCUUAAAUCCACAUUUUAAGACCAAGCUGCUGUGUAAAAUCUUUAGAUUUUGAUUGAUCUGACCUUCUGUAACAUGUCCCACAAGAUAAGACAUCUCAUCUUUGUGAUUGACGUUGAGGCCACAUUAGGUCCUGACUUAUUAUUGAUCAUUUUAAAUCUGAUAUUAAGUCCCACCUCCUCCUUAUUAUUAUUAGUAGUAUUUUGUUGCUAUUAAUUCAUUUUCUGAGUUUUUUUGUUGUUGAUGAUUUCAUGUUUAAAAGUUGUGUGUAGUGUCUUAAAAUGUGAGGUGAGAUUAAAUGUCUUGGUCACCAUAUUGCUUAUUAUUUUAUCAGAAAAUUGUUGUAAGAUGCUUAAGAUAAUAGCAUUCUGUGUCAUCCUUUAUGCUGCCCGCUGGUGGCGCUCUUAUAGAAAAAGCAACAUGCAGAGAGUUGAUGUGGUGUCAUAAUGAUGGCAAUACAGUGAAUUGUUUGGAAGUGAUGAAAGGUAAUUAUAUAUAGCAUAUAUUGAUUUGUA